GGGGAAUAUUGCGCAAUGGGGGGAACCCUGACGCAGCCAUGCCGCGUGAAUGAGGAAGGCCUUCGGAUUGUAAAGUUCUUUCGGUAUUGAGGAAGGUUGAUGUGUUAAUAGCACAUCAAAUUGACGUUAAAUACAGAAGAAGCACCGGCUAACUCCGUGCCAGCAGCCGCGGUAAUACGGAGGGUGCGAGCGUUAAUCGGAAUAACUGGGCGUAAAGGGCACGCAGGCGGUUAUUUAAGUGAGGUGUGAAAGCCCUGGGCUUAACCUAGGAAUUGCAUUUCAGACUGGGUAACUAGAGUACUUUAGGGAGGGGUAGAAUUCCACGUGUAGCGGUGAAAUGCGUAGAGAUGUGGAGGAAUACCGAAGGCGAAGGCAGCCCCUUGGGAAUGUACUGACGCUCAUGUGCGAAAGCGUGGGGAGCAAACAGGAUUAGAUACCCUGGUAGUCCACGCUGUAAACGCUGUCGAUUUGGGGGUUGGGGUUUAACUCUGGCGCCCGUAGCUAACGUGAUAAAUCGACCGCCUGGGGAGUACGGCCGCAAGGUUA
rnacentral:rRNA from 1 species